UAGGGAAUCUUCGGCAAUGGGGGGAACCCUGACCGAGCAACGCCGCGUGAGUGAAGAAGGUUUUCGGAUCGUAAAGCUCUGUUGUUAAGGAAGAACGAGUGUGAGAAUGGAAAGUUCAUGCUGUGACGGUACUUAACCAGAAAGGGACGGCUAACUACGUGCCAGCAGCCGCGGUAUUACGUAGGUCCCGAGCGUUGUCCGGAUUUAUUGGGCGUAAAGCGAGCGCAGGCGGUUAGAAAAGUCUGAAGUGAAAGGCAGUGGUUCAACCAUUUUAGGCUUUGGAAGCUGUUUAACUUGAGUGCAGAAGGGGAGUGUGUAAUUCCAUGUGUAGCGGUGAAAUGCGUAGAUAUAUGGAGGAACACGGGUGGCGGAAGCGGCUCUCUGGUCUGUAACUGACGCUGAGGCUCGAAAGCGUGGGGAGCGAACAGG
rnacentral:rRNA from 1 species